GUCUACAGCCAUGCUACCCUGAACAAGCCCAAUCCCAUCUGAUCUUAGGAGCUAAGCAGGGUCAGGCCUGGUUAGUACUUGGAUGGGAGACCACUUAGGAAGACCAGGUGCUGUAGGUA
rnacentral:rRNA from 1 species